GUCUCUUUAGAGAUAUCCGAAAAAUUGGAAUGAUACAGAGAAGAUUAGCAUGGUCCCUGCGCAUGGAUGACACACAAAUCGAGAAAUGGUCCAAAUUUUU
rnacentral:snRNA from 1 species